ensembl:lncRNA
AGCCUGGGAUUUCAGCUUUUUAAAAAUCAUGGCCAUGAUUAUGUUUUGUUUUGGGGUUUUUUUGUUGGUUUUUUUUUUUAAACACAAAAGCAAAACUUCCCAUGGCUCAGAAUGAAGAAGGAUCUAGCUCUUAAACACAACAUAUAAAGGGGCCGAUGUGCCCCUCCUUUGCCUGCUUGUGAUGAAUGAACAAAGCCUGAAAGCUUUCAGCAUUUCCCUGUUGGUUUUUUUUUUUUCCCCUUUGAUUUCAUUUCCUUUCUCAGCUGCAGAGGCCGAGCAACGUGAAUCUCUCCUGCUUCUGCUCUCUGACUUCAGUGGUGAUGCCAGGUUAAGCUCCAUCUCUGACAACAACAUAGGGUUUCCUUUUUCCUUUUAGCUUUGCUUGAGCUCAUGACGGCCAUCCCUCCAUCCAUCUCUUUGCUGCUUUUGUGCUGCUGUACAGCCAAGAUCGCAAACCUCACAGAGCUGGAGAAAGAAAACAAGCAAGGGCUCGGUGUGCCCAAAGCCAAAAAUAGGACCGGAUUGAACAGAGGAGCACGUGCAUAGGCUGGUGUCCAUGUGAGAGGUGGAAGAUUUGUGUUCCUCCUCCGGCUGGCUCAGAGGCUGCAGAUGGGUUCCUGAGGGAGUGCCCUCACCUUGGGCUGCUGGCUGUUCUGCGAUUCCCCCGCUCCAGGUGUGCCUGCUUGUAUAAAAUGCCAUCAGCCUCCUGGACCACGUCACCCCCAGUCUGCUCCGCCUGGCCUGGCUCCAGCAGGUCUGAGGCUGGAUGGAGCUCAGAGCCUCCCUUCCCACCUGUCUGGGUCAGCCAGUGUGUGGGCAGCUGGCACUGCCCCCACCCCGUUCUUCUGGUCUGUGUGCAUGCAGCAGCUUUCACAGCCCCAAGCUCACCGCUUUUGGCCAGAACUGAAUUCACGUCAGGUGCAUCUGCAGACGUGUGCGGUCAGCCGUUCCAAGAAGGAAAUCACCAUCAGAGAUGCAGAGAAGAAUCAGCCUUUGGUAGGAAAUCACCUCAACUGCUCUCAAGUAGAAAAGGUGCUGCCCCGAGAGGAACCUUUCCGGUUUCGGUUUGCUGCAUUUUCUUCUGAAAAAGAGUGGAAAGUGAGAAGUCCUGGAAGAAUCUCCCAUGGGAAGGCAACGAUGCAGUUACCACUUCCAGCUCCUAUUUGUGCAGAUUUUAAUCAAAACUGCCCAUCAAAGGGGAAAAAAGGACCCCAGAGGCCUUUCUGUAAAUGUCCUCAUGGAACCAGUUGUACUCCUGUGCUUGUAAAUCUCCCCUCUGGCAGUAAGGGAGCAGUGAAUGCCCUGUGCUUCGUGUGGGAUCUGCAGCUAUCCUGUAAGGAAUGCUGCAGCGUUGGAACCGGGGAUGGGCUGCAGUAAGGACACAUUCCUAGGAGCCACAAAGGGUUUGCUGAUAGGGAUCAGGGGCCAUAUAGCCCCUGGCUGCGCUCCAGAGGUGACCACACCGUGGCUAGAGAAAUAAGACCCCCCAGCCCCAAAGCUGUCCAAGCCUGCUGUGAACUGUUUUCAGUAAACCUCAAAAGCCUGAUCUUCUGUACUGCUCCUGUUUACCUUGUCGCCAGUAAACUUCUUGCAUCCGAGACAUUAUUGAAUACCUGGCACACGGAGGCACCUCCUCCUCCCAUUUAUCCCUCUGCACUUUAUUUGCUCUCAUAUCCCUAUAGGUAGCAUUUCUUUACCAUCAGUGGAACAACCAAGUUGCCUCCUGCAGGGGAGUCCAGGUUCACGGUGUGUGCUCGGGGUUACUGAACAGCACCAGAGCUGUUAUUGGCUUCCAGUCAUGCAUGAGAAAACUAAUUGAAGUGCAGACAUUUGGUCUGUCCCACCCUUGAUACAUUACUUAUUUUUCCAGCUCUGAGCUGUUUACACAGCACCUGACAAAGCUGAACUGAAGCAACGGAUUGAGGGGCUGGGGAACGAUGCUGUUUGUAUGGUACUGGAGGAAUCAGGGUUAGCAGGGCACUGAAGGGAAACACUGCCAGUUCACAUACAGUGUACCACUGCCCCUUUAGCACAGCACAGAUUUCAUUAUCCAGGUGGAUAAUAGGAGGAAAGGGAGGGCUAACCUCUAGAAGCCAGAACACAGAUAAGCGAGCUUGCCAGUGUUAGGAGGGGGUGAGCUGGCUCGGACCAGGUACUUUAGGAAUCAGUUUGAAUCCCCUCCAAACCUUGUGUUUUUGGGCCCAGGCAGACAAAGCAAUGCAAUCUUUCAAGCGUUCUCUGUGUUGACACAAACUGCUAAGCUUUGUGCAUGCCAAGAUAAAAAGAGGCAGCUUCCACUAGUCCAUUAUUCAGUGCUAGACAGCUUGAUUAUGAUGGAAACAAAAGACACUUUUGCAAUAUUGACAUUGUGAUCUAU